rnacentral:rRNA from 1 species
ACUCCUACGGGAGUCAGCAGUAGGGAAUAUUGCGCAAUGGACGAAAGUCUGACGCAGCCACGCCGCGUGAGUGAGGAAGGCCUUCGGGUUGUAAAGCUCUGUCAUCCGGGAAAACGGCUAUCUGGGGAAAGUUCAGGUAGCGUGAUGGUACCGGAGGAGGAAGCACCGGCAAACUCUGUGCCAGCAGCCGCGGUAAUACAGAGGGUGCAAGCGUUGUUCGGAAUUACUGGGCGUAAAGCGUGCGUAGUCGGUAUUGAGAGUCACGGGUGAAAUCCCAGGGCUUAACCCUGGAACUGCCUGUGAGACCUCAGUACUAGAGUGUGAGAGGGGAUAGUGGAAUACCCAGUGUAGCGGUGAAAUGCGUAGAGAUUGGGUGGAACACCGGUGGCGAAGGCGGCUAUCUGGCUCACAACUGACGAUCAGGCACGAAAGCGUGGGGAGCAAACAGGAUUAGAUACCCUGGUAGGCUC